CAAUAGCGUAUAUUAAAGUUGUUGCAGUUAAAAAGCUCGUAGUUGGAUUUCGGGGUGGCCUGGCUGGUCCGCCGCAAGGUGAGUACUGGUCAGCCGCCCUUCCUCUCGAAAGCCCCGACUGCUCUUUACUGCAGUGGUCGGGUAGUUCGGGACGUUUACUUUGAAAAAAUUAGAGUGUUCAAGGCAGGCUAUCGCCUGAAUACAUUAGCAUGGAAUAAUGGAAGAGGACCUCGGUCCUAUUUUGUUGGUUUCUAGGGCCGAAGUAAUGAUUAAGAGGGACAGUUGGGGGCAUUCGUAUUUAAUUGUCAGAGGUGAAAUUCUUGGAUUUAUGAAAGACGAACUAGUGCGAAGGCAUUUGCCAAGGAUGUUUUCAUUAA
rnacentral:rRNA from 1 species